AUGCAAGUCGAGCGGAUGAAGGGAGCUUGCUCCUGGAUUCAGCGGCGGACGGGUGAGUAAUGCCUAGGAAUCUGCCUGGUAGUGGGGGAUAACGUUCCGAAAGGAACGCUAAUACCGCAUACGUCCUACGGGAGAAAGCAGGGGACCUUCGGGCCUUGCGCUAUCAGAUGAGCCUAGGUCGGAUUAGCUAGUUGGUGAGGUAAUGGCUCACCAAGGCGACGAUCCGUAACUGGUCUGAGAGGAUGAUCAGUCACACUGGAACUGAGACACGGUCCAGACUCCUACGGGAGGCAGCAGUGGGGAAUAUUGGACAAUGGGCGAAAGCCUGAUCCAGCCAUGCCGCGUGUGUGAAGAAGGUCUUCGGAUUGUAAAGCACUUUAAGUUGGGAGGAAGGGCUGUAGGCUAAUAUCCUGCGGUUUUGACGUUACCAACAGAAUAAGCACCGGCUAACUUCGUGCCAGCAGCCGCGGUAAUACGAAGGGUGCAAGCGUUAAUCGGAAUUACUGGGCGUAAAGCGCGCGUAGGUGGUUCGUUAAGUUGGAUGUGAAAGCCCCGGGCUCAACCUGGGAACUGCAUCCAAAACUGGCGAGCUAGAGUACGGUAGAGGGUAGUGGAAUUUCCUGUGUAGCGGUGAAAUGCGUAGAUAUAGGAAGGAACACCAGUGGCGAAGGCGACUACCUGGACUGAUACUGACACUGAGGUGCGA
rnacentral:rRNA from 1 species